UACAGAGGUCCCAAGCGUUGUUCGGAUUCACUGGGCGUAAAGGGUGCGUAGGUGGUCGGUCAAGUUCGAUGUGAAAUCUCCGGGCUCAACUCGGAAAUGGCAUUGAAUACUGCCCGGCUGGAGGGUCGAAGGGGAGACUGGAAUUCUCGGUGUAGCAGUGAAAUGCGUAGAUAUCGAGAGGAACACCAGUGGCGAAGGCGAGUCUCUGGACGACUCCUGACACUGAGGCACGAAAGCUAGGGGAGCAAACAGGAUUAGAAACCCGAGUAGUCC
rnacentral:rRNA from 1 species